GACAGAGGGUGCAAACGUUGCUCGGAAUUACUGGGCGUAAAGCGCGUGUAGGCCGACCGGAAAGUUGGGCGUGAAAGCCCUGGGCUCAACCCAGGAACUGCACUCAAAACUACCGGUCUCGAGUGAUGGAGAGGGAAGUGGAAUUCUCGGUGUAGAGGUGAAAUUCGUAGAUAUCGAGAGGAACACCAGUGGCGAAGGCGGCUUCCUGGACAUCAACUGACGCUGAGACGCGAAAGCGUGGGUAGCAAACAGGAUUAGAAACCCCCGUAGUCC
rnacentral:rRNA from 1 species